AAGAUAUUAAGGAAUUCAAUGGGAAAAUAUCUAUAUCCAUUUCAUACUGUAUUAUAAGAUGGUAAUUAUCAAAAUAAUUUGGAACUAGCUAAGAAAUCGUGUGGUGAAUCACUGAAAUAGAUUAGAUAUAUAUUUUAUUAUAGUUAAUGAUCAUAGUAAUUUAGUGUGCAUAAAUCCAAAGAUCCAAGAUUUUGCAACAAAAAAUAAUUUAAUUUAAAAAAAUUGCUGGGAAAACUAGAAAAUGGUAUGACAGAAACUUGGUAUACAUCAGGACUCACACCUUAUAUCAAGACAAGGUCAAAAUGGGAUUAUGAUCACCCCAAAAGGGUGAUGAUACAAGCAAAAUAAGAGUUCAUGGAGUAGUUUAUCUGUCAGAUCUUUUGUCAGAUCUUGGCUAUCUCCACUGGAAUUAGGUCUUUCUAGUGUUUCUCUCUGAUUGUUCCUUAGUGGUUAGAUGCUUGACUACAUUGCAAAGUUAAAAAAAAAAAAUGAGGCAUUUUAUUUCAUCUAUUUUACAGAGUUUAUCAAGAGUAGUUUGCAAAAAGAAUAAUAAAUUCAAAUUAUAAUGAGGCAUAUUGUUAAAUGAUUAAAAAAUCAUGCAUACAAAAGUUCUUUAGAGGGGUGAACAAGAGAAAAGCUCUUGAAAAAUUAUUUCUGAUUUGAUAAGAAUCUAGGAAAACAAAAUUGGUCUGCUGCCUUGGUUCCAUGCCUUCUGCUAAUCACUGUUCUAUGUUAGUAAUUAGAGUGUGUGUUCAAGCUUCUUUCUAAAAGAAAAUAAUAACUGGAGGUAAUAGAAGAUAAUUAGAAUAGUGUGAACAAAAGCAAACUAGAAAUACAUGGCAAAUGUGAAUCCAGAUCAGCAGAUGUUUGUCUUAAAUAACCAUAUCAUAAAAGACUAUACAGUCCUACUCUAAAUAUUUUACACCAGUUUGAGUGGAGUCAACAUGUUUUAUCCAUAGUGUCUUUCAUACACUGAAAACAUUUAAAACAGGCAUUUUUUUUGAGGGAGGGGGAAGAGAGUUUUUCAUUUAAUGGAAAAUUUGUGAAUUUUUGAAAUUAUACUUAAAGCUCCAUUUUAAAUGGAGAAUCUUUUAGGCUGAAAGAUGAUUUUUGAAAAAAAUAUUUAUUUUCUCUUAUUAAAACAGAUAUUUAAUUCAGUUAUUCUAUAUAUAUAUAUAUAAUAUUUGAUAUAUUGUCCUACAAAACAGUGUUUAAAAUUUUUUGAGGG
rnacentral:lncRNA from 1 species